rfam:Clostridia bacterium 41_269 MPF_scaffold_14, whole genome shotgun sequence.
ACAAUGCGAUGAAGUGGAAGGUUGCUGUUAAAACAACAGGUAAUUUCCACAGAGAAUUGUCCGAAAAUCGGGCGAA